rnacentral:rRNA from 1 species
CAACUCGGCUGCAUGAAGCUGGAAUCGCUAGUAAUCGCGGAUCAGAAUGCCGCGGUGAAUACGUUCCCGGGUCUUGUACACACCGCCCGUCACACCAUGGGAGUAGGUAAUGCCCGAAGUCGGUGACCUAACCGGAAGGAAGGAGCCGCCGAAGGCAGGACUUAUAACUGGGGUNAAGUCGUAACAAGGUAAC